rnacentral:rRNA from 1 species
UACGUAGGGUGCAAGCGUUAAUCGGAAUUACUGGGCGUAAAGCGUGCGCAGGCGGUUAUGUAAGACAGAUGUGAAAUGCCCGGGCUUAACCUGGGAACUGCAUUUGUGACUGCAUGGCUAGAGUUUGGCAGAGGGGGGGUAGAAUUCCACGUGUAGCAGUGAAAUGCGUAGAUAUGUGGAGGAACACCGAUGGCGAAGGCAGCCCCCCUGGGUCAAGACUGACGCUCAUGCACGAAAGCGUGGGGAGCAAACGAGG